GCACUCUGUUGGUUAAAGCAAUUCACAGUGUCAGCCUGGAAUCAGUGUGGGAGGGGAAAACACAAGGUCAUGAAUACUAGGAAGUAGACUUUGGAGGCGAGCAAGUGCUAUGGGAACACCCAGGGGAGGCCCAUAACCUAGGCAUGGAAGUCAGGAAGACUUCCUGGAAGCAGCAAUGCUAAACUAACCUUAAUGAUGAGGCCUGGGAACUAACCAGGUGAAGGAGAGGAAAAGAAAGCCCAGUUCAGGCAGGGGACACAGCUGAUACAAAGAUCCAGGGAGGAAAAGAAAGCACAAUUUAAGAUCAGUGUAGCUGGAGCUGAGGGUGAGGCAGGAAGUGAUGGUGAUGGGGUAGUGAUAGGCCUUAGUAUGGAGAGGUAAAUGGAGCAAGAUCAUAACACCUUGCAAGCCCCCAAGAUAUUUGGACUCUGUCCUGAAGGUGUGGGUUUUGGUAGGGGAGUGACCAGGCCACAGGGAUCUAAGAAAGGCUGUUGACUGCUGUGUAGGAAUGGAUUAGAGGGGGUCAAUCUCUCAUUUUCACCCUGUCCCCUCUAGGCCAGUGACCUCACCUUCAGCACUGAGAAACCUGAGUCAUCACCUCAUCUCCUCAGCACUGAUACUAGCUCUUUUUGCUUUUGCUUUCUAUUAGUGGAUAUAUAUAUAUAUAUAUAUUUUUUUUUUUUUUUUUUUUUGAGAUGGAGUCUUGCUCUGUCACCCAGGCUGGAGUGUGGUGGUGCAAUCUUGGCUCAUGGUAACCUCCGCCUCCUGGGUUCAAGCAGUUCUUCUGCCUCGGCCUCCUGAGUAGUUGGGAUCACAGGCCUGUGCCACUAUGCCUGGCUAAUUUUUGUAUUUUUAGUAGAGAUGGAGUUUUUCCAUGUUGGCCAGGCUGGUCUCAAACUCCUGACCUCAGGAGCGGAGGUCUGAUCAAAGUGUUGAGAUUACAGACGUGAGCCACCCAGCUGGGGUUUUUAAUAUAAAAGAGUGCAAAUGGCUGGGUGUGGUGGUUCAUGCCUGUAAUCCCAGCACUUUGGGAGGCUGAGGCAGGCAGAUCACUUGAGGUCAGUAGUUUGAGACCAGCCUGGCCAACAUAGUGAAACCCUGUCUCUACUAAAAAUACAAAAAUUAGCCAGGUGUGGUGAUAGAUGCCUGUAAUCCCAGCUACUUGGGAAGCUGAGGCAGGAGAAUAGCUUGAAUCCAGGAGGUGAAGGCAGUGAGCCAAGAUCGUACCACGCACUCCAGCCUAAGUGACAGAGCAAGACUCUGUCUCAAAAAAAAAAAAAAAAAAAAAAAAGACAAAUUCGUUUAUACAAAUAUUUUUGUUUUGUUUAAUUUCUUUUUAAAGAACAUAGCAGAAAACCUACCUGGUAGGAAUCUGGAUGUGGGGUUCGUCAGAGGUCAAUUUAUACUUGAGAGCGUUGUAUAUUAAGGAACAGCCCACUGGCAGGGAGUAUAGAGCAAGCCAAGCUCAGUGAAUUUGACCCCCCAGAUAAAUAAUGGUUGUUGAAAAGCUCUUACUCUAGUAAAAAGUCAUAUAAUACUAAAGGCUUAUAUCAAAAGACAGCAGACUUCUGCACACGCUCUCUACCCUCUAAUCCUACUCUCUAGAGGCAAUUAUUCUGUACUCCGUGAAGUGUCAGGAAGCAGCGCAUGAGAGCGGGGAUUCUAGAAUUGAAUUGUCUAACAUCCAACACAGCUGUCUCCCUUACCAGCUGGGUUACCUUGGUCAAGUUCAUUAUAAUAUCUUUUCCCUCAGUUUCUUCGUCUGUAUGAUGGGAAUGAUAAUUGUACUCUUCUUAUGAGAUGACACAGUUAAACUGCUGGGCACAUGGUCUGUAAAUGGUAACUAUAUAUGAUGAUGACGAAGAAAAAUCUAACUUGAGAGCAACUGUGAGUACACUUGGACGUUAGCUGCACACUGAACAAAUAAAUAUAAGGCGUGUUUAUCAUUUGGCGGAAAUGACAAGAAUACAGACUCAGUUGGAGAGGUCUGUCUCUUCCCUUUGUUCUAAGGCUAAACUCUGUGUUUGUUCUCAGUCCCAUUCCCUUCCUGUCCCUUUUAGAACCUUGUCUCUAUAAUUAUCCUGACCCUUAUGCCAAAACAUACAUCUUCCUCCUACCUUUUUUCUUUCUGCCUGUGAAAUAUGUACAGGCCUUUCCAGUCUUGGGGGAAAAAUCCUUUACUUGAUCCUCCUGCCCUUUUCAGCUACCAUUCUGUUUCUUUUUCCCUACUGCCAGAUUUCUUAAUUAAGUAAAACACAUGCUGCCUCCCAUUUCUGCAUGACUCCUUCACUUUUCAGCCUUGUCUCCCAGCUUCUAUCCCUGUUCUUCUGAAAUAGGGGUCACUAGGGUCAUCAAAGACCACCUCAUUAACUACCAGUGGACCUUUGCUCAGUCGGACUCUUGACCCAGAGCACUUGACUCAGUUGGCCAUCCGUGCCUUAAAUCUUACACACAACCUCAUUGUCCACUUCCAUUUUUCUGGCUAUUGUGUACUUUCCCCAAGCCACCCAGGAAAGGAAUCUUGAACUCAUUGUAGGCUCAACUCUUCCUUCUCUGCCCUCCCCAAUACUAGUUUUAUUUUUGCUUUCUUUCCUCUGGUUCAGGUUUUCUCAUGACCCCACACUAGUUUUGACUCUUUCUGCAAGUAUUAGAAACUCACUGAAGCUAGCUUUUGAAAAAGUUUUAUCAGGGUAUGGAAGAGUAGCCAGGACAUCUAAUGGAUCCCAAGGGCAGGAGACAGCUGGGACCCAGAAAAGACCAGAAUUAUAGACUCAGGAGGCAACAAAGUGAGCCCUUUCUCUCUGACUUUCUUUCUGGGUUUCUCAUGAUCUGUCCAGUUACCCCAAAGGGGUCAGACACUUCCAUACCCAGCUAGUCACUGGGUCCUGUGAAAAUUGCCUUCUUUUGCAUCAGGCCCUUUCAACUGUCUCCUCUCCAGCUUCCCUGGUCCUACGUCUCUCUUGUUCGUUUAUCUCCUAACCAUUCUCCUGUAUCUGGCAGUGCUGCUUCUUCCUUCUGACCCCUAGUACCAGCAUCAUCCACGUGUCCAUUCUUUCCCUGUUGCUCUUAAACUCCCUCUGUGCUGUUGACUUUUAAAUGAGAAUACAGUGGUUAAGAGCUUGGGUUCUGGAAUCCUAAUAAUCCUGGUUUGAAUCCUCCACCACUUUGUCGGUUGUGUGAACUUUGGAAAGUUACUUGAAUUUUUUUGAGCCUCACUUCCUUAUCUGUGAAAUGGAGCACAUGUAAAGCUUAGUUAGCACAGUGCCUGGCACACAGAGCCCAAAACGGUAACAAUCAUUAGCCUUACCUUUGCCCUCUUUCCUGAGUUCCAGUCCAGACCUCCACAACCUGCUAGGUUUAUCCAUUGCCUGUCCUGCUGUGACCUCAGAUCCACCUGUCGGAAUUCCCCAGAUGCUGGUGGAUGAUGCAGCUUUCUGACAGCUAGAGGGCAGGGAGAUUUGAAAAAGGCAGGUGGUCUCACCACAUUCUCAAAGGAACCCCACACCUGACCUUGCCAAGCCUCAGCAGAGAAGGCUCUGAAGAACAGCUCUCCCAGAAGCCUCCAAGCCCUGUGCUGGCUGACUUUUAAGUUCUAGGAGGGCAAGCAGAGCUGCCAUUAUGAGGGCAAACGGAGGAUGUGAACUUAACCUUUAAAAAAAAGCCCCAGGUGGUGAGAGGAGGUGUAGCAGAUCAGUGGAGCUUGGAAGUGGGUGAGAGCAACACCCUCAGGGCGUUGAGCUGGGUUUAGGCUGGGGCCUCCCUCAAGCACUGGGGAUUUGGCAGCAGGGAAGCCAGAGAUGCUCCUGUUUUUAGCUGAGCAAUUGUAGGUCCCCUUUGCCGCCCUUGUGAACAUUCCUCAUUAAGCGCCACGUGUGAAACAGGGUGGUUGCUUUCCCCGCCCCUCCUCCCGGCUCUCUCUACCUCCUCUCUGCUCCUGGAUGGUGGCAGGUGGCAGUCCUACUGGCAGGAACCCAGGAGGGGCAGGGCUGCACUCUACCCAGCACAGAACUGGAAUCAUGAGGAUGGGAGGGCCAGAAAGAGGCGGAAAGCGACACUGAGAAUCCAUUCCAAACGAGCAGCCAAGAGGAGACGCGGCAGCUCCCAGAUGUUGAUGUUUUGUUUUUUGACAUAAAUCUUUGCACUC